rnacentral:rRNA from 1 species
ACACACGGAUAACAUACCGAAAGGUAUGCUAAUACGGGAUAAUAUAUUUGAGAGGCAUCUCUUAAAUAUCAAAGGUGAGCCAGUACAGGAUGGACCCGCGUCUGAUUAGCUAGUUGGUAAGGUAACGGCUUACCAAGGCGACGAUCAGUAGCCGACCUGAGAGGGUGAUCGGCCACAUUGGAACUGAGACACGGUCCAAACUCCUACGGGAGGCAGCAGUGGGGAAUAUUGCACAAUGGGCGAAAGCCUGAUGCAGCAACGCCGCGUGAGUGAUGAAGGCCUUCGGGUCGUAAAACUCUGUCCUCAAGGAAGAUAAUGACGGUACUUGAGGAGGAAGCCCCGGCUAACUACGUGCCAGCAGCCGCGGUAAUACGUAGGGGGCUAGCGUUAUCCGGAUUUACUGGGCGUAAAGGGUGCGUAGGCGGUCUUUCAAGUCAGGAGUGAAAGGCUACGGCUCAACCGUAGUAAGCUCUUGAAGCUGGGAGACUUGAGUGCAGGAGAGGAGAGUGGAAUUCCUAGUGUAGCGGUGAAAUGCGUAGAUAUUAGGAGGAACACCAGUUGCGAAGGCGGCUCUCUGGACUGUAACUGACGCUGAGGCACGAAAGCGUGGGGAGCAAACAGGAUUAGAUACCCUGGUAGUCCACGCUGUAAACGAUGAGUACUAGGUGUCGGGGGUUACCCCCUUCGGUGCCGCAGCUA